GAUGAAGAACGUAGCGAAAUGCGAUAAGUAAUGUGAAUUGCAGAAUUCAGUGAAUCAUCGAAUCUUUGAACGCACAUUGCGCCCGCCAGUAUUCUGGCGGGCAUGCCUGCUCGAGCGUCAUUUCAACCAUCAAGCCCCCGGGCUUGUGUUGGGGACCUGCGGCUGCCGCAGGCCCUGAAAAGCAGUGGCGGGCUCGCUGUCACACCGAGCGUAGUAGAUUUUAUCUCGCUCUGGGCGUGCUGCGGGUUCCGGCCGUUAAACCACCCUUUUAACCCAAGGUUGACCUCGGAUCAGGUAGGAAGACCCGCUGAACUUAAGCAUAUCAAUAAGCGGAGGA
rnacentral:misc_RNA from 1 species